rnacentral:sRNA from 1 species
AGUCCUGGUACAUGAGCACAGAUCUUGGCUCUCUCCUAUUUCUUAACCUCCUCUUUGGUAGUUCUCAAAGUAUGACAAACAGACCAGGGUGCUAGAGGUACAUUCGCUGAUACACAGACCAGCAGACCAGGGUACAAGAGAUGACAUUAGCUGAUACACGGACCAGCAGGGCAUUAAACAGCAUGGACUGGAACGUGAACUGUGACAGAACUAUUCCUUGAAGAUUAAAUCAAAGAGAAGUAGGAGAACCUGAUCUGUCUGUUAUGAGCUGUAGCCCUGAAGAAGACAAGAAGAGAUGACUGAGCAAGAAAGUCACAGCAGCUUGCGUUGGAAACACCAGCUUCAGCAAUGCUGUGGAAGACAGGCCUGAGGUCUCGCCAUCUCCUCGGUGGGCUGGGGCUUUAAGAAGAGCUGACCUGAUGGCGCCCAAGGGCUGUGAGGAGUGGGAAUAAGGCAGAGAGCGAAAACAAAUGGGUUCAGAAGGCCAAGCCAGUGGGACCUGAAGCUAAACAAAUGAGCCUGCAAAGGAACCUCCAUGGCAGAGUGAAAAUUACAGCAGUGGUGUCAGCUGUGGCUUGAAAAGCUGCCUAAAGAAUCAGGUAUCCUUGUCACCACCACCUCCCCCCAAAAG